AAAUUUAUGAGAGACAUGUAAGACCAAUGCAGUGAAUUGCCAAAAGAAACUAAAGACUUAGAGGUGGUUGAAAGAAUAAGAUGCCUCUUCUCUCCAGAUUCACCUGUAGAUUCAACGUAAUCCCAGUAAUACAGCUGUACUUGAUUUCCACUCCGUUCUGCCUGAUUUCUUGGCCUGCGCUUGGCCCCAGUCUUGGGCAGCACCAAAGAAUAUGGUGUCCCCCGUCUGGCAGCUGACGUGUGCUCACCCCUGACCCAGUGGAUGUGAAGGGCCCAGGAGCAGCAGGUGUAGCUCGGCUUUGUGAAACCCGCAUACGUGUGAAUGUUCUUAUGAAACACUGACAGCGAGUCUCCCCCUUUCCUCAGCUUGCAUCUCUAGGACUUGUUUCCUCGGAACCCAGCUUUUUAAAGUUAUUUUUUAAACAAUCAUGCAGGCCUCUUGCCCCUUUGGGUGUUCACUGCGGUGGGUUUCCCACGUACGGAGGUCUGCCCAGGAGCGCCGCAGUCAGGGUCAGACCAAGCCGGGCCCGGAGAACCCCAGGCAGGUUCCGGGCCUUCCCCCACAGCUCCUGCUUUGGGACGUCCUGCAGGUGGGCAGGCACCGGAACAGGCUGGCGAGACUUGACGCACUCACUGUGGAAGCCACCCUGGAAGACUGAGCUCCAGAGAGCGCGUUCCCCGCAGUGCACACCCGGCCCGUCCAUGCCACUGCCCUUUAUUGCUGGGCAGCCGUCCCUCCCAUGCACACGGCCUCGUUCAGUUAUCCACUGUCUCA